CAUGCAAGUCGAACGAAGCACUUUUGUAUGAAUCUUCGGAGGAAGACAAUAGUGACUGAGUGGCGGACGGGUGAGUAACGCGUGGGUAACCUGCCUCAUACAGGGGGAUAACAGUUAGAAAUGACUGCUAAUACCGCAUAAGACCACGGAGUCGCAUGACUCAGUGGGAAAAACUCCGGUGGUAUGAGAUGGACCCGCGUCUGAUUAGGUAGUUGGUGGGGUAACGGCCUACCAAGCCGACGAUCAGUAGCCGACCUGAGAGGGUGACCGGCCACAUUGGGACUGAGACACGGCCCAAACUCCUACGGGAGGCAGCAGUGGGGAAUAUUGCACAAUGGGGGAAACCCUGAUGCAGCGACGCCGCGUGAGCGAAGAAGUAUUUCGGUAUGUAAAGCUCUAUCAGCAGGGAAGGAAAUGACGGUACCUGACUAAGAAGCACCGGCUAAAUACGUGCCAGCAGCCGCGGUAAUACGUAUGGUGCAAGCGUUAUCCGGAUUUACUGGGUGUAAAGGGAGCGUAGACGGCUGUGUAAGUCUGAAGUGAAAGCCCGGGGCUCAACCCCGGGACUGCUUUGGAAACUAUGCAGCUAGAGUGUCGGAGAGGCAAGUGGAAUUCCCAGUGUAGCGGUGAAAUGCGUAGAUAUUGGGAGGAACACCAGUGGCGAAGGCGGCUUGCUGGACGAUGACUGACGUUGAGGCUCGAAAGCGUGGGG
rnacentral:rRNA from 1 species